ensembl:lncRNA
GUCCUUACGACCGGUAAACGUCGAAUGGAGUGUGAAGCCUCGCUUCUCCCUCUGCAGAUAUCCUCUGCAGGGUCUUCUGAAGCGGUCAAGAUGUCUUCAACAUGCCUGUUCCAGGUGAGAGUGAGACGAAGAGAGACGCCAGACAUCUGAGUGCUGACUGAGAAUCGAAUCCAGAUCCUAGAGGGCUUGGAUAAGCAAUGGAGGAAUCAGAGAGGAGGAAUGGAUUUGUUGUCACACCACCAUCCACCAUCCGCCAUCCAGCUCUUUGACCCGGAGAGUAAUGCAAAGAAAAGGAGACCCAGAUCAAUUUGAAUCGUUUCAAAGAAAGAGAAGCCGCUGUCUGGGCCCACAUGUGAAAGGCCAGGCUGGAUUAAGGUAUCAUCGUGAUGGUAUGCUGCCCUAUGGACAGACAGGCAGGAAGAAGACCUAAAUCCCUGUCUGGAGCAGAGCAAGGUCUCAAGCUGCUGUUGGAAUCAACCAAAUGAAAUGAGGUGACACGGGAGGAGAGCAUGAACUCCCUCUGUCAAAAAGCCUAAUGAUUUCUGCCUCGUGACCAUAAAGAGCUCACAAGCCCUCAAAUCGUGUUUCAGUUCUGCAAGCUUACUCCCCGCUACUGUAAGCAGCCACUAUCAGAAAAGGG